CUGACAGGAUUGAAAGAAGAAAAAAGCUAGAAAAGCUCUUGUUAAAUAAAAAAGGAACAUUUAUUACAAAUUACUGCAUUGUAUUUUGAGCUUCAAAAAAUGGGAGUGGCCCGGGCCUCUCUCAACCUCUGAGAGGGCCUGCCAAAGCCCUACUGAGGCUCCCGAUCCGUACAGACGCUGUGGACCCAGGUUGAAGUAACGGACUGCUGCUUCUGAAUCUGUGCCAGCUGACCAAGUGCAUGAUAUGAAACAGUACCUCAGCCAUUAUUUUCCCAAACAAGAAUGGGCUCUGAGACUGACUUGUGGUGCUGAUGGAAAACAUCAUGAAAAAAACUCUAGCUCAGGAAAAAGUGUCCCCCUUAAUGUGCCCCUAUCCAACAGUGCACACCUGUCUUCUCAGUGCUUCAAGAGGACAGAGAAGCACCAAAGCAGAAGAGUCACCAUCUACCCAGGGGGGGCACAAGAAUGGUUGAAAUAGGGGGCUGCCAUUGACUGGUGUUGCGAUUCACACCUCCACCUCAGUGAAGCAUAUUUCACCGUUUGGCAAGCAGCAACUGCUAUGUAAGGAUCCUCUACUCUACUGCAUCCUUAUCUCGCAGUAAAGGAUUCCAGAACUGGUUUCACUGUGUGCCUUUAAGAGGGGGACUGAAAAUUAAUCACUUUGCUCUUUAAAAAGUACCAUGAAAUUUUUAACCCCUGCCUGAAGAUUUAGUUGAGAAAAACCUAAAGAACCUCACUCUAGCACCAAAAGUUAUUGCCUUUGCCACUGCACUGUUCCCAUCCUAUUUCUGGUGGAAGAUUCUUUAUCCAUUGUUCUGUUCUCUUGUUUGCAUUAGCAAGAAUGAUGGGAUGACUAUUCCCAGUAGCCCUCAAGCAUGCUGGGCUGCUCUUCACAGACUGCCUCUUAAAUCAGAAGUGCAGUUACAUCUGCCUGGCCAAAUAGCACAGGGGCAGGUAAAUUGACACUGUCACUCACCAGGACAAAGGGCUUCAUAAAGGUGUCAUGCUCCUUAUCAUUUAGAAAGCAGCCCCAAAGGAGUAGCAUCAUGAACUUAAGGGAACUGCCUCCAGGGAAUUCAGCUUAGUACUUAAAAGGGGAAGAAUAAAGAUUAGUCCCCCUGCUCAUUGGCUUUAUCCAUAAUCAUAUGCUAACUAUAGAUCAUGUUAUACAUAUCCUCUUAUGCUUAUCUGCUGCUGAAGGAUUUUUGUGUUUCUGUAAGUUACAAGGCUAUGUGAAACAGCAUAAUUCCGCUUUGACGUCUGUUUCAACAUUUUGACAGAACAGUGUUUCGUUUCAUUUAGAUAGCACUGGUCCAUUUCCUUUCAUCAAAACUCUUUCACUGUUUUGAUGCUGUUUUGACGUUUCACUCAUAGCCAGCACCAGGAAGAUCGGUGCUGUCACUGGCCCCAGCUAGCAGCACCAGCCUCCUGUCAUCUGGCAGGCAGAUCAGGGGCUGCACCCUUGCGAGCAAUCCAGCACAUUCCCCACAACCCUCCCUCAGGUGGGUGAGCCCCCGAUGUGCCUGCCAGAUGACAGGAGGCUGGUGCUGCCAGCUGGGGCCAGCGGCAGCACCAAUCUUCCACGCACAGGCU